UGUCGAAGAUGCGAGAGUGCUACGCUGUUAGAACAAUUCAUCGGUGCAUUCAAGUGUUACCUAUUAUAAGCUGCCAAAAGACCAAGCAGUGCGAAGCUCUUGGCUGACAGUGGUGCCUGCUAAUUUCCACUGCAAGGAUUUCGUCCACGAAUGUUAUCAUAGGUUACGCGCGACUCCAGAGGCAAUUUGGAAUCUCGGCACGAAAUCGUCUGAUGAAAAUCUGAGGUGCCCGACGCAUAACAUUUUGAACGUGCCACGGAGGAUCAAGGCAAAAAACGAGAGCAAAAAAUGGUGCACGCUGAAGGCGGAAAUGAAGCAUGAUCUGGCUUGCAUCUGGUCAUGAAGAAAUUGCUGACACGUUAGUUGCAGUCCACCUCCACCAACAGGGUGGAAAACAAAGAUCGCCAUUCCGAUUAGCUGCUAUCUCCCAGUUCAAGCACUUUUGUGUCUGGACACUGGUUCCUGUGGAUGGGGUGUUACAAGCUUUACUGUCUGAUAUAGAAGUGAUGAGCAUCCAUAAGGACACAUGCCAGAAAGGGAGUCUCUUUGGGAUGACAAACCCUCAUCACCUCAUGAGGAUACAAUGGUUGACGAAUGGUUCUCAAGCACAUCGAAACUUCCAACAAAUAAUUCAUGAA